rnacentral:sRNA from 1 species
GAUCCCGGAGGUCAACAUCCGACAGCGCGAUGCGCCCUCGGGUGCGUGUUUC